rnacentral:rRNA from 1 species
AGGGUUCGAUUCUGGCUCAGGAUGAACGCUGGCGGCGUGCUUAACACAUGCAAGUCGAACGGGAUCCAUCAGGCUUUGCUUGGUGGUGAGAGUGGCGAACGGGUGAGUAAUGCGUGACCGACCUGCCCCAUACACCGGAAUAGCUCCUGGAAACGGGUGGUAAUGCCGGAUGCUCCAGUUGAUCGCAUGGUCUUCUGGGAAAGCUUUCGCGGUAUGGGAUGGGGUCGCGUCCUAUCAGCUUGACGGCGGGGUAACGGCCCACCGUGGCUUCGACGGGUAGCCGGCCUGAGAGGGCGACCGGCCACAUUGGGACUGAGAUACGGCCCAGACUCCUACGGGAGGCAGCAGUGGGGAAUAUUGCACAAUGGGCGCAAGCCUGAUGCAGCGACGCCGCGUGAGGGAUGGAGGCCUUCGGGUUGUAAACCUCUUUUAUCGGGGAGCAAGCGAGAGUGAGUUUACCCGUUGAAUAAGCACCGGCUAACUACGUGCCAGCAGCCGCGGUAAUACGUAGGGUGCAAGCGUUAUCCGGAAUUAUUGGGCGUAAAGGGCUCGUAGGCGGUUCGUCGCGUCCGGUGUGAAAGUCCAUCGCUUAACGGUGGAUCCGCGCCGGGUACGGGCGGGCUUGAGUGCGGUAGGGGAGACUGGAAUUCCCGGUGUAACGGUGGAAUGUGUAGAUAUCGGGAAGAACACCAAUGGCGAAGGCAGGUCUCUGGGCCGUUACUGACGCUGAGGAGCGAAAGCGUGGGGAGCGAACAGGAUUAGAUACCCUGGUAGUCCACGCCGUAAACGGUGGAUGCUGGAUGUGGGGCCCGUUCCACGGGUUCCGUGUCGGAGCUAACGCGUUAAGCAUCCCGCCUGGGGAGUACGGCCGCAAGGCUAAAACUCAAAGAAAUUGACGGGGGCCCGCACAAGCGGCGGAGCAUGCGGAUUAAUUCGAUGCAACGCGAAGAACCUUACCUGGGCUUGACAUGUUCCCGACGGUCGUAGAGAUACGGCUUCCCUUCGGGGCGGGUUCACAGGUGGUGCAUGGUCGUCGUCAGCUCGUGUCGUGAGAUGUUGGGUUAAGUCCCGCAACGAGCGCAACCCUCGCCCCGUGUUGCCAGCGGAUUAUGCCGGGAACUCACGGGGGACCGCCGGGGUUAACUCGGAGGAAGGUGGGGAUGACGUCAGAUCAUCAUGCCCCUUACGUCCAGGGCUUCACGCAUGCUACAAUGGCCGGUACAACGGGAUGCGAC